rnacentral:rRNA from 1 species
GAGUUUGAUCCUGGCUCAGAACGAACGCUGGCGGCGUGCCUAACACAUGCAAGUCGAACGUGAUCCAGAGCUUGCUCUGGUGAAAGUGGCGCACGGGUGAGUAACGCGUGGAUAACCUACCCUGGUAUCCGGGAUAACAUUCCGAAAGGGGUGCUAAUACCGGAUAAGCCCACGGGCUCUUUGGAGCUUGCGGGAAAAGGUGGCCUCUAUUUAUAAGCUACUGUAUCAGGAUGGGUCCGCGUACCAUUAGCUAGUUGGCGGUGUAACGGACCACCAAGGCGACGAUGGUUAGCUGGUCUGAGAGGAUGAUCAGCCACACUGGAACUGAGACACGGUCCAGACUCCUACGGGAGGCAGCAGUGGGGAAUUUUGCGCAAUGAGGGAAACCCUGACGCAGCAACGCCGCGUGAGUGAUGAAGGCCUUUGGGUCGUAAAGCUCUGUCAGAGGGGAAGAAAUGAUAUAGUGCUAAUACCACUUUAUCUUGACGGUACCCUCAAAGGAAGCACCGGCUAACUCCGUGCCAGCAGCCGCGGUAAUAC